CUUGUGCUUCAUACGGGUAGUACAACUUACAAUUGUGGUUAGUACUAUACCUUUAUGUAUGUAAGCGUAUUACCGGUGGAGUUCUUAUAUGUGUUUGAAUACUUGUAUUCUUUCAUAUGUUCCUCCUAUUUAAAAACCUGCAUUAGUGCUCUUAAACGAGUGUUAUUGUGGGCCGGUACAAUUACUUUGAACAAAUUAGAGUGCUUAAAGCAGGCUUCAAAUGCCUGAAUAUUCUGUGCAUGGGAUAAUGAAAUAAGACCUCAGUUCUGCUUUCAUUGGUUUUCAGAUCAAGAGGUAAUGAUUAAUAGAAGCAGUUUGGGGGCAUUAGUAUUACGACGCGAGAGGUGAAAUUCUUGGACCGUCGUAAGACUAAGUUAAGCGAAAACAUUUGCCAAAGAUGUCGAAGGCGAUCAGAUACCGCCCUAGUUCUAACCAUAAACGAUGCCAGCUAGCAAUUGGGUGUAGCUACUUUUAUGGCUCUCUCAGUCGCUUCACGGGAAACCAAAGCUUUUGGGCUCCGGGGGAAGUAUGGUUGCAAAGCUGAAACUUAAAGGAAUUGACGGAAGGGCACCACCAGGAGUGGAGCCUGCGGCUUAAUUUGACUCAACACGGGAAAACUUACCAGGUCCGAACAUAAGUGUGUAAGACAGAUUGAUAGCUCUUUCUCGAAUCUAUGGGUGGUGGUGUAUGGCCGUUCUUAGUUCGUGGAGUGAUUUGUCUGGUUAAUUCCGAUAACGAACGAGACUCAAAUAUAUUAAAUAGAUAUCUUCAGGAUUAUGGUGUUGAAGCUUAUAUAGCCUUCAUUCAUGGUGGCAGUAAAAUGUUUAUUGUGUUUGUAGUGGAGCCGUACCUGUUGGUUUGUCCCAUUAUAAAGACACUAGCUUCUUAAAUGGACAAAUUGCGUCUAGCAAUAAUGAGAUUGAGCAAUAACAGGUAUGUGAUGCCCUUAGAUGUCCUGGGCUGCACGCGCGCUACAAUGAAAGUAUAAACGAGUAUUUUCUAGACCGAGAGGUCCGGGUAAACCGCUGAACCACUUUCAUUGUUGGGAUUGUGAACUGAAACUGUUCACAUGAACUUGGAAUUUCCAGUAAGUGCGAGUCAUUAACUCGCAUUUAUUACGUCCCUGCCCUUUGU
rnacentral:rRNA from 1 species